rnacentral:rRNA from 1 species
CGGAGGGUGCAAGCGUUAAUCGGAAUUACUGGGCGUAAAGCGCACGCAGGUGGCUGAGUCAGUCGAUUGUGAAAGCCCUGGGCUUAGCCUGGGUAUUGCAGUCGAUACUACUCAGCUAGAGUAUGGGAGAGGGUAGUGGAAUUCCCGGUGUAGCGGUGAAAUGCGUAGAUAUCGGGAGGAACAUCAGUGGCGAAGGCGGCUACCUGGCCCAAUACUGACACUCAGGUGCGACAGUGUGGGGAGCAAACAGGAUUAGAUACCCUGGUAGUCCACGCCGUAAACGAUGAGAACUAGAUGUCGGGGGGGAUUAGCCCCUCGGUGUCGUAGCUAACGCGCUAAGUUCUCCGCCUGGGGAGUACGGCCGCAAGGUUG